AAAAAACGAAGCUCUCAUUUGUAUGAUAGGAGUAGGAGUUCUCAUUCUCUGGCUCUCUGGUUCAACACACGCGCAGCGCAUGAAUGAAUGUCUUUGAAAGCAAGUUGACGUUGGUUAAGUUUAGGAAAUAGUAUCAAGUGUAUCGGAAAGUGUUUGAUAUCAUUUUAUCAAUAUAUUGCUACCUAGAUCAGUGUUAAACGGUGUACCAAACAAUUUGCAGAGUAUAAAUAAAACGUGAACAUGUCAGCGAGAAAAAAUCAACCUGGAUUCCAACCGGAUUCAGAUGUUUAUAUUACGUACGAGGAUCAGCAAAAAAUUAAUAAAUUCGCACGGCAAAAUGUACGGAUGGAGGACUUGAAAGAAGAAUUGAAAAUUAAGCAGAAUGAAUUAAAAAAUUUGGAAGAUGCGUGUGAUGAGAUAGUUCUUUUGGAGGAUGACGCAAAAAUUCCAUAUCACAUUGGUGAAGUUUUUGUGCAUGAAGAUUCGGAAAAAGUUCAGAGUUAUUUAGAAGAAAUUAAAGAAGAGAAGAAAAAGGAGAUCUCAGAUUUAGAAAGUAAAUGUGCAGACAUGAAGACUGCUAUCAGCGAUCUAAAAAUACAGCUAUAUGCAAAGUUUGGUAGUCGUAUAAAUUUGGAAGCAGAGGAAGAUUAAUCUAGUCAACUAUUUCUCUACCACCAAUUAAGAAUUUCAUACCAUUAUUGCCUCAUAUCUUCUAAACAUGCAACUGAACUUUUAAACCUGGACUCCUGCCAAAUUGUUCUCAUUAUAAAACGCUCAUGCAAUGACUGAAAAAAAGAAUUCCAAGACCUAUAUUCAUCACAACUAUAAAUUUUGUACAAUUUCAUUAUAUUUUGGCUAUCAAUAUAAUUUUAUAUACUAAUUAUAUACGUAGUUUUAUGAAAAAUUCAAAAAUUUAAUAACAGAGUGUGAACAGAAUUUUGAAAUCUGUAUUAGACAACCAUAGAACAU